AUUUUCUUACAAAUUUUUCUCAAUUGGAAGCAAGUAGAGUAUAUUCAAAUUUUAGAAGGACAGUGACAGGCUCUCAGCAUUUGCUGCUUCGAGAUCUUCUCUUACAGCAUGGCUUGGCAUUUUAUUGACCAGUACUUCUUUCAAUGAAGAAACCAGGCUGUUUCGGUUGAGGCAAUGUUGCUCCCUCGUUUGCCAACAUGAAAGCUGCAGAUGAUAUGUCUGGUCUGUCCUCUGGAAACUUUUGAACACAUAAUAAACCCACCUGAAUGCAUCGUAGUACUUUAGAUUUAACACAUGAAUCCUCCAAACAUGAAUCCAUAAGUUCUAAGGCCUUGGUGUAAUUCCAAAGCAACCAUGCCUGCACAAUUGUAAACCCACAUCCCAUACGCACAGAAAUGAGUCAUA